AGUGAACGCUGGCGGUAGGCCUAACACAUGCAAGUCGAACGGCAGCACAGUAAGAGCUUGCUCUUACGGGUGGCGAGUGGCGGACGGGUGCGGAAUACAUCGGAAUCUACUUUUUCGUGGGGGAUAACGUAGUGAAACUUACGCUAAUACCGCAUACGACCUACGGGUGAAAGCAGGGGAUCUUCGGACCUUGCGCGAUUGAAUGAGCCGAUGUCGGAUUAGCUAGUUGGCGGGGUAAAGGCCCACCAAGGCGACGAUCCGUAGCUGGUCUGAGAGGAUGAUCAGCCACACUGGAACUGAGACACGGUCCAGACUCCUACGGGAGGCAGCAGUGGGGAAUAUUGGACAAUGGGCGCAAGCCUGAUCCAGCCAUACCGCGUGGGUGAAGAAGGCCUUCGGGUUGUAAAGCCCUUUUGUUGGGAAAGAAAAGCAGCAGGUUAAUACCCCGCUGUUCUGACGGUACCCAAAGAAUAAGCACCGGCUAACUUCGUG
rnacentral:rRNA from 1 species